rnacentral:rRNA from 1 species
UGCGGUGAGGGUCCACCUGUUCCCAUCCCGAACACAGAAGUUAAGCUCAUCUGCGCCGAAAAUACUUUGCGGGCGACUGCACGGGAAAAUAGGUAAUGCCAACA